AACCAGACUCCUACGGGAGGCAGCAGUGGGGAAUAUUGGGCAAUGGGCGCAAGCCUGACCCAGCAACGCCGCGUGAAGGAAGAAGGCUCUCGGGUUGUAAACUUCUUUUAUCAGGGACGAAGCAAGUGACGGUACCUGAUGAAUAAGCCACGGCUAACUACGUGCCAGCCGCCGCGGUAAUACGUAGGUGGCAAGCGUUAUCCGGAUUUACUGGGUGUAAAGGGCGUGUAGGCGGGAAAGCAAGUCAGAUGUGAAAACCCAGGGCCCAACCCUGGGACUGCAUUGGAAACUGUAUUGCUUGAGUACCGGAGAGGCAGGCGGAAUUCCUAGUGUAGCGGUGAAAUGCGUAGAUAUUAGGAGGAACACCAGUGGCGAAGGCGGCCUGCUGGACGGUAACUGACGCUGAGGCUCGAAAGCGUGGGGAGCAAACAGGAUUAGAUACCCUGGUA
rnacentral:rRNA from 1 species